rnacentral:rRNA from 1 species
AACGCGUGAGGAACCUGCCUCAAAGAGGGGGACAACAGUUGGAAACGACUGCUAAUACCGCAUAAGCCCACGACCCGGCAUCGGGUUGAGGGAAAAGGAGCAAUCCGCUUUGAGAUGGCCUCGCGUCCGAUUAGCUAGUUGGUGAGGUAAUGGCCCACCAAGGCAACGAUCGGUAGCCGGACUGAGAGGUUGAACGGCCACAUUGGGACUGAGACACGGCCCAGACUCCUACGGGAGGCAGCAGUGGGGAAUAUUGCACAAUGGGGGAAACCCUGAUGCAGCGACGCCGCGUGGAGGAAGAAGGUCUUCGGAUUGUAAACUCCUGUUGUUGAGGAAGAUAAUGACGGUACUCAACAAGGAAGUGACGGCUAACUACGUGCCAGCAGCCGCGGUAAAACGUAGGUCACAAGCGUUGUCCGGAAUUACUGGGUGUAAAGGGAGCGCAGGCGGGAAGACAAGUUGGAAGUGAAAUCUAUGGGCUCAACCCAUAAACUGCUUUCAAAACUGUUUUUCUUGAGUAGUGCAGAGGUAGGCGGAAUUCCCGGUGUAGCGGUGGAAUGCGUAGAUAUCGGGAGGAACACCAGUGGCGAAGGCGGCCUACUGGGCACCAACUGACGCUGAGGCUCGAAAGUGUGGGUAGCAAACAGGAUUAGAUACCCUGGUAGUCCACACCGUAAACGAUGAUUACUAGGUGU